UACGAAGGGGGGCUAGCGUUGCUCGGAACUCACGUGGCGUAAAGGGGUGCGUAGGCGGGUUUUUAAGUCAGGGGUGAAAUCCUGGAGCUCAACUCCAGAACUGCCUUUGAUACUGAAGAUCUUGAGUCCGGGAGAGGUGAGUGGAACUGCGAGUGUAGAGGUGAAAUUCGUAGAUAUUCGCAAGAACACCAGUGGCGAAGGCGGCUCACUGGCCCGGUACUGACGCUGAGGCACGAAAGCGUGGGGAGCAAACAGG
rnacentral:rRNA from 1 species